rnacentral:lncRNA from 1 species
AUAAGAGUGCGGCGCUGCACGAGUUUGAAAGGGAUUUUGUAGCUUAUAAAUAAACAAACAAAAGAAAUGACCCACCAGGAUCUUAAUGGAAUAUGAGAAAGCAUGCAAGAUCCUGUUCAUGCGUGAGCUCCAUUAUCGACGGCUAAUUAGUGGUAUUCUUUUUAGCCAAUAUUCAAUGUAUUGUAAAGUUUUUAAUCAAGGAUUUGAGCUGAGUGAAAGUGAGUUUUGAUUUUAAUUUGUGAGUCUGCGCCUGUUUGUUGAUUUCAAUUUCAGUUUUUCCUUGUCUUUGUAGUUAGUGUUGAGUUUGAUUGUCAAUUCUUAAAUAAAGAAGGAGGUUAAAAAAUAAUAGCUAUUGAAGAAAUCUCACAUCAUUUAGUGUGAUGAAGCAAGGGGAAGACCAAUGUUAGAUAUAAAGACCUAAGUUCUUUGUUUUUAGAUGCAUUAGUCAGUAGCACUUUAACUUAUAUCUAACUUAGUUUAAAUAUUUGCUUUGUGAUUGUGAUAGUGUGGUUGUACCGGAGCAUUGGAGUGAGAGUGAGAGAAGUCUUUGUGUCGUAAAAAAUUUCACAUAGUAAAAUUCUUUGGUUUUAUAGACAACGGUCAUGAUUUUUCACCGAUUUUAGAAUUUUUCACAUUAUAUUCUUAUGUUGUGAUUAUGCUCAUUUUUCUUCUUCAGCCCUGUUACUUACUAACCAUCAAAGCUUCACAAGGUGUGAGAACUUCUCUAAUAUGUCACGCAACUCAAUGCUAAGAGCAUCUAUGAUGAUAGUAAAUUUAAAAAGUCGU